AUCGAUGAAGAACGCAGCGAAAUGCGAUAAGUAAUGUGAAUUGCAGAAUUCAGUGAAUCAUCGAAUCUUUGAACGCACAUUGCGCCCCUUGGUAUUCCGAGGGGCAUGCCUGUUCGAGCGUCAUUAUAACCACUCAAGCCUCGGCUUGGUCUUGGGGUUCGCGGUCCCGCGGCCCUUAAAAUCAGUGGCGGUGCCGUCUGGCUCUAAGCGUAGUAAUUCUCUCGCUAUAGGGUCCAGGUGACCACCUGCCAGAACCCCCCAUUCUUUACGGUUGACCUCGGAUCAGGUAGGGAUACCCGCUGAACUUAAGCAUAUCAAUAAGCGGAGGAAAAGAAACCAACAGGGAUUGCCUCAGUAACGGCGAGUGAAGCGGCAACAGCUCAAAUUUGAAAUCUGGCUCUUUCAGGGUCCGAGUUGUAAUUUGUAGAAGAUGCUUUGGGUGUGGCUCCGGUCUAAGUUCCUUGGAACAGGACGUCAUAGAGGGUGAGAAUCCCGUACGUGACUGGGUGCCUUCGCUCGUGUAAAGCUCUUUCGACGAGUCGAGUUGUUUGGGAAUGCAGCUCAAAAUGGGUGGUAAAUUUCAUCUAAAGCUAAAUAUUGGCCAGAGACCGAUAGCGCACAAGUAGAGUGAUCGAAAGAUGAAAAGCACUUUGGAAAGAGAGUUAAACAGUACGUGAAAUUGUUGAAAGGGAAGCGCUUGCAACCAGACUUGCGCGCUGUUGAUCAUCCGAGCUUUUGCCCGGUGCACUCGGCAGCGCUCAGGCCAGCAUCGGUUUUGGUGGGCGGAUAAAGGCCUUGGGAAUGUAGCUCCCUUCGGGGAGUGUUAUAGCCCUCGGUGCAAUGCGCCCUACCGGGACCGAGGACCGCGCUUCGGCUAGGAUGCUGGCGUAAUGGUUGUAAGCGACCCGUCUUGAAACACGG
rnacentral:rRNA from 1 species